rnacentral:rRNA from 1 species
AUUGAACGCUGGCGGCAUGCUUUACACAUGCAAGUCGAACGGUAACAGGCCGCAAGGUGCUGACGAGUGGCGCACGGGUGAGUAAUGCAUCGGAACGUGCCCAGUCGUGGGGGAUAACUACUCGAAAGAGUAGCUAAUACCGCAUACGAUCUAUGGAUGAAAGCGGGGGACCGUAAGGCCUCGCGCGAUUGGAGCGGCCGAUAUCAGAUUAGGUAGUUGGUGGGGUAAAGGCUCACCAAGCCAACGAUCUGUAGCUGGUCUGAGAGGACGACCAGCCACACUGGGACUGAGACACGGCCCAGACUCCUACGGGAGGCAGCAGUGGGGUAUUUUGGACAAUGGGCGCAAGCCUGAUCCAGCAAUGCCGCGUGCAGGAAGAAGGCCUUCGGGUUGUAAACUGCUUUUGUACGGAACGAAACGGCUCUGGUUAAUACCCGGGGCUAAUGACGGUACCGUAAGAAUAAGCACCGGCUAACUACGUG